rnacentral:rRNA from 1 species
UACGGAGGGUGCAAGCGUUGUUCGGAAUCACUGGGCGUAAAGCGCGUGUAGGCGGCCACUUAAGUCUGAUGUGAAAGCCCUGGGCUCAACUCAGGAAGUGCAUUGGAUACUGGGUGGCUGGAGUACCGGAGAGGAGGGUGGAAUUCCUGGUGUAGCGGUGAAAUGCGUAGAUAUCAGGAGGAACACCGGUGGCGAAGGCGUCCCUCUGGCCGGGAUACUGACGCUGAGACGCGAAAGCGUGGGGAGCAAACAGG